rnacentral:rRNA from 1 species
GAUGAACGCUGGCGGCGUGCCUAACACAUGCAAGUCGAGCGAACCCUUCGGGGUGAGCGGCGGACGGGUGAGUAACGCGUGGGUAACCUGCCCUGUACACACGGAUAACAUACCGAAAGGUAUGCUAAUACGAGAUAAUAUAUUUUAAUCGCAUGGUUAAGAUAUCAAAGCUCCGGCGGUACAGGAUGGACCCGCGCCUGAUUAGCUAGUUGGUGAGGUAAUGGCUCACCAAGGCGACGAUCAGUAGCCGACCUGAGAGGGUGAUCGGCCACACUGGAACUGAGACACGGUCCAGACUCCUACGGGAGGCAGCAGUGGGGAAUAUUGCACAAUGGGCGAAAGACUGAUGCAGCAACGCCGCGUGAGCGAUGAAGGCCGUCGGGUCGUAAAGCUCUGUCCUCAAGGAAGAUAAUGACGGUACUUGAGGAGGAAGCCCCGGCUAACUACGUGCCAGCCGCCGCCGUAA